GAGCAUCUCAUUCCCUUCAUCUCUGCUGAUCCGCGCAUGCAAGUUUGUUUUCUCCGAGGGCGCACGUGUUUUUUUUUUCUUCAUGAGACCGAAGGAAAUGCCUGAGGAAUCUAGAAAUAUACUAUUAAUUUAAGUAACCGAUUAUUUUUCUGUUGCUCUCAUAUACUGGAGCGAUGGGUUUUAUUCUGGUUUCCAGCGUUAAAUAAGCCUCUGCCAAAGAACAAAACCAUUAUUUUGGGAAAUGGGCAGCACUGCAAUGGAUUCUAAGAAGAAAGAUGAGAAGAAAAAUACAAGAAAAAGGAUAUCGCUUCGGAUAAACAUGCCUGACUUGAGCUCCUUCGCCAUGCCGUUCCUGGAAGGAGAUGCAGAACAUGCCAGUAAGGACGGCGUACGCAAGGGGGAUCUUAGCUGUCGAUCAGCCAGCCCGACCAAAACCUUCUUCAGCAGGGGUCCAUUUAGUCGCCCCUCCAGCCCCAUGUCUGCUCCAGCCCGGACUAGAAUCAGCCCAGGAUCUCCCAAACCCAUCUUCUCCAACCACGAGUCCUCCCCCAAGUGUUCACGGCGCCGCAGCUUCACUGGGAUCUUCCGCUCAUCCUCCAAAGACUCCACUAAUCCCUCCACAUCUCCAGUCAGCAUCAAACUCUUCUCCAGGACCAAGAAAGCAUCUGGGAUCUCCUCAUCUCCCACCACUCCAACACAACUGACCAAGCAGACUUCAGCGUUUCUUGUGGAAGUCAGUCGAAAUGACACAGUGCACCGCUCCUCAUCCUCUCCUCUCGACACGGGACAGCCCCACAGUCCACCCAUUACAAAACCACCACCCUGUCCCUCCUCGGCACCCAUAUCUACCUCACGCAUGGUUCACGGUUUAUCUGAAGAUAUGCUGGAGAAACUCGAUAUCGAGGAUGAAGCUGUUGAACAUUCUGAGAGCGACAUUUACAUGCGGUUUAUGAAGUCACAUAAGUGCUAUGACAUCGUCCCUACCAGCUCCAAACUUGUGGUCUUCGACACAACGCUGCAGGUUAAAAAGGCCUUUUUUGCAUUGGUGGCCAAUGGAGUCCGAGCUGCCCCCCUGUGGGAGACCAAGAAACAGAGUUUUGUGGGCAUGUUAACCAUCACAGACUUCAUCAACAUCCUUCACAGAUACUACAAAUCACCCAUGGUACAAAUCUAUGAGCUUGAAGAGCAUAAAAUUGAGACAUGGAGAGAGCUCUAUCUACAAGAAACAUUUAAGCCUUUAGUGAACAUAUCUCCAGAUGCAAGCAUAUUUGAUGCUGUGUAUUCACUGAUCAAAAACAAGAUCCACCGGCUGCCCGUCAUCGACCCCGUCAGUGGAAAUGCACUUUACAUUUUGACGCACAAAAGGAUCCUGAAAUUCCUUCAGCUGUUUGUUUGUGAGAUGCCAAAGCCCGCCUUUAUGAAGCAGACACUGGAGGAGCUGAGCAUCGGGACCUACAACAACAUCGCCUUCAUUCACCCCGACACGCCAAUCAUCAAAGCACUCAGCAUCUUUGUGGACAGAAGAGUGUCUGCACUGCCUGUGGUGGAUGAGUCAGGAAAAGUUGUAGAUAUUUAUUCCAAAUUUGAUGUCAUUAAUCUAGCUGCUGAAAAGACGUACAACAACCUGGACAUUAGCGUGACGCAGGCGCUGAUGCACAGGUCACAGUACUUUGAAGGGGUCAUGAAGUGCAACAGAUUAGAGACACUGGAAACAAUAGUCGAUCGAAUAGUCAAGGCUGAGGUGCACAGGCUGGUGGUGGUGGAUGAGAACGGCAGCAUCGUGGGCAUCGUCUCUCUGUCAGACAUCCUCCAGGCACUCGUUCUCAACCCCGCAGGUAUAAAUGCUCAGCAUUCCUAAAGCUCAUUUCCAGCAGGACCCUUCUCCUCCCAACCUCUCUCACCCACAACACAGGUAUGUUAGGUAAGGACAGUGAAGUGGAGGCUGAGUGAAAGACGCUGAAAAUCCGCGUGACGGUGCUGUCAGAGAUGACGACGACGACGAUGAUGAUCACAAGUUUGGCCCACAUCUCCGAAUGAAACCAGAAAACUUGUCCUAGACGUGUGCAGUUGGAAGGAGAAAAAAAGAAGGGUUAAUGGGUAAACAGACGGGUUGUUUUAUCAUAAACGGGCGAUUUUAAGUGGAUCAUCUCUUAUUCAGAAGGAAACUGUGAACUCUAUUAUAUCACACUACGCUUCUGCACGCACACUACGAUUACUAUACUUUUAGCUAGACCUAAAAUUGCGCCAUCUGGUGUCUGAGCAGUGCUUGCACACAGACUACGGGCCGUACCAUAAUCGCCUCUUUCGAGGGGGUGUCUGUGCGUCUGCAGGGCAUUCAGUAAUAAUCUCAGUAUUCAGUGCAUGUUAUGACUGUUUGUUCCUCGUGUAUAUACGGUUUUCAGCUUGUGGCGUAUGAGCCCGGAUCACAUAUUUGUACUUUUGACUACUCCUCCUGAAUUUAGGAUCUCGUUUUGUCUCUCCUUGGCGAUCCCUUUGUAAACGCAGAAAUGGUUUCCUCCUCUUUAUCUGUCUAUGGUGCCUUCUGUCCAGCAGUUAUCGCUCACUACUGGUUGCCAAUAGAUCAAGAUUAACUGAAUGUUGAUAUCAAAGCGAAUGUUGCAGUUGUUUUAAAAAGAAAAAGAAGAAAUAACAACCAAAACCCCCCCUUUUUUGCCGUUUUAGUGUGUCUCACGACUUUUAUUUAUUGCAGAGCUCUACACUUCUUCACUUCGGGUGUUCAUCUUGAUGUUUUUGUUUGAAAUGAUGCUGUAAAUGAUAAUUGAAAUGUAUAUUUAUUUAUAUUUAACACUUUUGUAAUUUUGGAAGCGAUAACAAAGUGUGAGAUGGAAAGAGUUGUUAAGCCCCUAUGCAGUAAAACCAUGUGCUGAUCAAUGACUUGAUGUUCAAUGCAAUUCAACCUUAAAAAUCCCACAUUUGUUUUAAGUUUGCGUUCAGGCCAUGAGGUGACUGGCCUCUUGUUUGUAUCGAUUGUACUGUACACAUACACACGCAGAGGUUCUGUCUGAGGACUCUACAAGUGCCAGAGAAAGGUCUAUUUUUCUGUGUGUUCAACGUUGUUUGUAAAGCAUUUCCUUUUAAGUUGUUUUUUGCAGAAGUGUCACUGCUGUUGUCAUGAGAGAGUAAUGUCCAGAGAUACUGUAAUUGCACAUCACUGGCAUGAGGAUGCUGAUGGAUAAUCAUGCUUUAGAUUUCUUUUUAAUUUUACGGUUAAAUAAAAUAAAAAGAAUAAACAAAG